rnacentral:snRNA from 1 species
CUACAUACCUGUGAGGGGGAUACCAUGAUCACGAAGGCGGUUUUCCCAUGCUGACCACUGUGAUCUCCCCAAAUGCCGGAAACAUGGCUGCGUAAUUGGUGGCAGUGGGUGACUGUAUUCACUAUUUCCCC